GUAGGGAAUAUUGGGCAAUGGAUGCAAGUCUGACCCAGCCAUCCCGCGUGCCGGAAGAAGGCCCUCAGGGUUGUAAACGGCUUUUGACGGUGAAGAAUCGACAGGAUGCGUCUUGUUUUGACGGUAGCCGUUGAAUAAGCACCGGCUAACUCCGUGCCAGCAGCCGCGGUAAUACGGAGGGUGCGAGCGUUGUCCGGAUUUAUUGGGCUUAAAGGGUGCGUAGGCUGGAAGGUCAGUCAGCGGUGAAAAGCUGUCGCUUAACGAUAGUCUUGCCGCAGAUACUUCCUUUCUUGGAUGAGGAGGAGGCCACUGGAACGGAUGGUGUAGCGGUGAAAUGCAUAUAUAUCAUCCAGAACACCGAUUGCGAAGGCAGGUGGCUGUACCUUAAUCGACGCUGAUGCACGAAAGCAUGGGGAGCAAACAGGAUUAGAAACCCUGGUAGUCC
rnacentral:rRNA from 1 species